rnacentral:rRNA from 1 species
AACGAACGCUGGCGGCAUGCCUAACACAUGCAAGUCGAACGAGACCUUCGGGUCUAGUGGCGCACGGGUGCGUAACGCGUGGGAACCUGCCCUUAGGUUCGGAAUAACUCCCCGACAGGGGUGCUAAUACCGGAUAAUGUCUUCGGACCAAAGAUUUAUCGCCGUUGGAUGGGCCCGCGUUGGAUUAGCUAGUUGGUAGGGUAAAAGCCUACCAAGGCGACGAUCCAUAGCUGGUCUGAGAGGAUGAUCAGCCACACUGGGACGGAGACACGGCCCAGACUCCUACGGGAGGCAGCAGUGGGGAAUAUUGGACAAUGGGCGAAAGCCUGAUCCAGCAAGGCCGCGUGAGUGAUGAAGGCCUUAGGGUUGUAAAGCGCUUUUACCCGGGAUGAUAAUGACGGUACCGGGAGAAUAAGCUCCGGCUAACUCCGUG